CCUACGGGUGGCAGCAGUGGGGAAUAUUGCACAAUGGGCGCAAGCCUGAUGCAGCCAUGCCGCGUGUGUGAAGAAGGCCUUCGGGUUGUAAAGCACUUUCAGCGGGGAGGAAGGCGUUAAGGUUAAUAACCUUGUCGAUUGACGUUACCCGCAGAAGAAGCACCGGCUAACUCCGUGCCAGCAGCCGCGGUAAUACGGAGGGCGCAAGCGUUAAUCGGAAUUACUGGGCGUAAAGCGCACGCAGGCGGUCUGUCAAGUCGGAUGUGAAAUCCCCGGGCUCAACCUGGGAACUGCAUUCGAAACUGGCAGGCUAGAGUCUUGUAGAGGGGGGUAGAAGUCCAGGUGUAGCGGUGAAAUGCGUAGAGAUCUGGAGGAAUACCGGUGGCGAAGGCGGCCCCCUGGACAAAGACUGACGCUCAUGUUCGAAAGCGUGGGGAGCAAACAGGAUUAGAUACACCAGUAGUC
rnacentral:rRNA from 1 species